AACAGCAGUGAAAGUGUGCUUUCUGUCCAGAUAUUAGUAACCGUGAUGGUGGAAAAGCCUCACAUAGUUUGCAUUUUGGUCCCAGCACUGGCACUGCCCACAGUGGAACAAGAUUAGAAAUUUGAACCAGAACCUUGUCCGUUUGACUUUUGGAAUAUUCAGUGUUGCUAUGGCGUCACCUCACUUCAUAUUGGUGUCCCAUAAGGAUAUUGUUUUGUGUUCAUCUCAAAGCUGUCCUGGAUCCAGUUUCAGGCGGUGUAGGGGAAGGUUUACAAAGGUGCAAAGCUUAUUUCUCAGGUCCCUCUAAAGACGAGUGUCUGAAAAACUAGACAAAGAGAAGACUCAGCUAUGAAACAGUCAGUCUUGGAUUGAGUUAUUAUAUGGUUUCACCUUGCGUCAGUCACCUUCAUGUUGAACCCACAUUAUCCCUUCACUAACCUAAGACCUAUUCGCACCAAUAUAACAGAGCCACAUUAGGAGCUGCUAUAUCUGAAAUUGUCUAAAAGGUGU